GGGAGCGGCUAAAGAAACGCUCCGUGGCGCUUCCAUUCCGAGGCCGCUCACUUCGAGGAAGCUGCCCGGCUCGAGCACCUUUUCCUCAAAACUACGCUUUAAUUUGUCCGCGCGCGCCUUUCGGCACAUCGUCUCGUCCCCGCCUUCUAGAUAGCCGUCCGGCUUUUUUUUUCUUUCUUCCUUCCGCCGGUUUCUUUUUUCCCCACUCUCCCCGCAUCGAUUGAUCUCUCUCGACCGGGUCCGACGCCACCACCGUUGCCGCCGUCGCUGCCGCCAUAUUCCUCCCGCUCGAAAACCAAACGAACCACUCCAAAAGUCGACGUCUUCGAGCCAGAUGUCCCAGCAUUUCUCAACACUGCCCUGAAGGUUCAAGACGUUUAUCAUCUCCUGGACCUGACGGAAUCCCGUGCAGAGUGCUAUGCUGUUUUGGUGAACGGGAGCGAAGUGUUGCCAGUCGAUCUCCGGAACGAAUCCUGGCGAGGCGGCACGGCUCCCACAAGCUGCAAAACUGAUCGUCUAGUUCCGUUUCGGAA
rnacentral:lncRNA from 1 species